UUCAACUCCCUCUCCUGCUA
rnacentral:tRNA from 2 species